rnacentral:rRNA from 1 species
UACGGAGGGUGCAAGCGUUAUCCGGAAUCACUGGGUUUAAAGGGUGCGUAGGCGGCUUGGUAAGUCAGGGGUGAAAGCUUCCCGCUUAACGGGAGAACUGCCUUUGAUACUGCCAGGCUCGAAUCAGGUUGAGGCAGGCGGAAUGUGGCAUGUAGCGGUGAAAUGCUUAGAUAUGCCAUAGAACACCGAUUGCGUAGGCAGCUUGCCAAACCUCGAUUGACGCUGAGGCACGAAAGCGUGGGGAGCAAAC